rnacentral:rRNA from 1 species
GAUGAACGCUGGCGGCGUGCCUAAUACAUGCAAGUCGAGCGAACAGACGAGGAGCUUGCUCCUCUGACGUUAGCGGCGGACGGGUGAGUAACACGUGGAUAACCUACCUAUAAGACUGGGAUAACUUCGGGAAACCGGAGCUAAUACCGGAUAAUAUAUUGAACCGCAUGGUUCAAUAGUGAAAGACGGUCUUGCUGUCACUUAUAGAUGGAUCCGCGCCGCAUUAGCUAGUUGGUAAGGUAACGGCUUACCAAGGCGACGAUGCGUAGCCGACCUGAGAGGGUGAUCGGCCACACUGGAACUGAGACACGGUCCAGACUCCUACGGGAGGCAGCAGUAGGGAAUCUUCCGCAAUGGGCGAAAUCCUGACGGAGCAACGCCGCGUGAGUGAUGAAGGUCUUCGGAUCGUAAAACUCUGUUAUUAGGGAAGAACAAAUGUGUAAGUAACUAUGCACGUCUUGACGGUACCUAAUCAGAAAGCCACGGCUAACUACGUG